rnacentral:rRNA from 1 species
AAUAGAUACCCCGGUAGUCCACGCCCUAAACUAUGUCAACUAGUUGUCGGGGAAGAAAUUCCUUGGUAACGCAGCUAACGCGUGAAGUUGACCGCCUGGGGAGUACGGCCGCAAGGUUAAAACUCAAAGGAAUUGACGGGGACCCGCACAAGCGGUGGAUUAUGUGGAUUAAUUCGAUGCAACGCGAAAAACCUUACCUACCCUUGACAUGUACGGAAUUCCGCAGAGAUGUGGAAGUGCCCGAAAGGGAACCGUAACACAGGUGCUGCAUGGCUGUCGUCAGCUCGUGUCGUGAGAUGUUGGGUUAAGUCCCGCAACGAGCGCAACCCUUGCCAUUAGUUGCUACAUUCAGUUGGGCACUCUAAUGGGACCGCCGGUGACAAACCGGAGGAAGGUGGGGAUGACGUCAAGUCCUCAUGGCCCUUAUGGGUAGGGCUUCACACGUAAUACAAUGGUCGGUACAGAGGGCUGCCAACCCGCAAGGGGGAGCUAAUCCCAGAAAGCCGAUCGUAGUCCGGAUUGUAGUCUGCAACUCGACUGCAUGAAGCCGGAAUCG